AUGGGUUUUGGAUUGAAAGGAAUUUUUAUUCUGGCUAUUUUACAAGGUGUCCAUUGUGAUAAUGUUCAGUUGUUGGAGUCUGGGGGUGAUUUGAGACACCCUGGAGAAUCUCUUUGCCUUUCUUGCAAAGUUUCUGGAUUCACCUUAAGCAGCUAUGACAUGCACUGGAUCCGCCAGGCUCCAGGGAAGGGGCUGGAAUGGAUCUCAGUUAUUUGGUAUGAUGGUGAUACAAACUAUGCAGACUCUGUGAAAGGCCGAUUCACCAUCUCCAGGGACAACAGCAAUAGCAUGGUGCACCUGCAAAUGAACUCCCUUAAAGUUGAGGACACAGCCCUGUAUGUGCAAGAAACACAGUGA